AAGUCUUCUGUUCAUAGGAGGAGUAGGUGAAUAUAUUUCUAUAAGUCUCUCUCUCUCUUUAAUGAUUUUUCCCUAUUACCACUUCUCACUUUUAUUUUCUUUGAGAUACAGGACUUGGUAUGGUUGUGAAGGAUUCUGGAUUAAACGAUAAAGUGCUUGAAGUUGAAGUCUCUGACAACUUCAGUUUGCGCGAUCUCAAGGUAGGUGCAUAGUGCAUACUCUACUUUUUUUUUAAUCUCCAUUUUGUUAGUUGGUAUAUAUGGGAAUUCACAUUGAACAUUUUUUGUUUUUUUUGUUUUGUAGGCAAUGGUUAAGAUGCUCAUUGCAGUUCAAAUAGACCCUGACGAUGGACCGGUGAGUUCUUUUUUUAUAUGUUAUGCCCGUUUCGUGAAUGUAAAUUAGUUGCAUUUUAUAUAUUUCUGAUUUGUAGUUCAAAUUCUUGUGUUUGAUUUCAUUGUAAUUUUAUUAAACAUCGAGAAUAUAUACCAAUAAUUUUGUAAGUGUAAUGGUGGAAAAUGCUCCUUUUUCAUCUUCCAUGGGAGAGAUUAAGCACAAUGUAUUUGGAAUUUUACCAACUCAUGUAACAUCAAAAUUGGAAGUGCUGUGACGUUUUGAUUUUUUGGGAGGUUUUUUGUGAUGCUUGAUGAUUACGAGAGAAGUGACAUUUGGAAAAAGUAACAGCUUUAGCUUUAGGAAUUCACAUUGAUCUUCUGUUUCGUUUAUGCAGGGAGUUUUUAAAGCUCUCAGAUCUUCAUACAAGACGGAUUCUGAUGCUUUUGACGCACUUGU
rnacentral:lncRNA from 1 species